UAUGUUUCGUCAUAGUAACUAAAUUGGUUAUAACUAUUUUGGAAAAAAUAACCCAAAGUUCAGAUAAAACGUGAAUUCUGCUCAGGAUACAUGAAUGUAUUCUCAUAGAUUUCUCUCUGAAGUCUGACAUGUGAAAUUUUCAUGAAUUCUUCACAGCAGAGAAUAUCCAAAUAACACAAUCACAUUAAAAACAAAUUGAAUAUAUCGUAUGGCAAUACAGUAAAAUAAUCACAUUAGUCACAUGAUAUAUUAGUACAAGGCAUGCCAUCAUUGAGCUACUGUAUCUCACAAAUCUAAAAAAAAAAGACUAAAAAGUGUAAUAGAAAAAUUUGGGAGAUCAGAAGAGUAAAAAAAAGAGGUGUUAUCUGUCACUGUUCAAUCAGAAACACGGACCAAUUUCAUUCAUCACAUCUCCCAAAUACUACAAGCAAAACAUCAAAAUUCCAAAAAUUAAUCUAACGCCAAAUCCAAAGUAUAUUACAUAUAUAUAAAGUAAUCAUCAGAGACUUAAAUACUACGAAUCAUAGAAUUUACCAUCAUAUUGUUGCAGUUUUUUUCUCAUCAUCUGAUUUCGAUUUUAUCAUCCAGUAAAAUUGUACUAAUUCAAGUAUUUCAGAUUCUUCGACAAUUGUUAAAUGACUAAAUCAGAUACAUCUAAUACAAAAUUGACCUAAAUAAUAAUGUAUCAUCGUUUACUGAACCAUUCCAUCAUAAAUUAAGUCAAGUGGUUCACCCAAUAACAAUGCAAUUCUUGAUAUCCCUGACAUUUACGAGAGACCCAUUCACAAAGAAGGCAAUAGAUCCCUGCUUUUUUAAUCAGGUUUUUUAAAAAGUAAGUUCAAGUUCAAGAGUAGAAAGCUCAGAAGCCAAGCGUAACAAGAAAAUUUCAUUGAAGAUCCAAGCUGAUCCAAGCUUAAAAUAGAUCUCCUUACAUGUUCGCUAUCUCAUCAAUGCUUAAAAUAAUUUGACUACUAUUAAUUUGAAGGAAUGCUGGGGAUAAAAAUUAACAUCCUCCAAUCGUGAUAAGUAGCGUUAUCUAGGCACCGUGCAAAAGGUAGUUUCUCAUAGAAAUAAGAAGAAAAUACCCGUUGUCUGAGAUAUGCCAUUGAAAACAGUGUAUAUAUAUAAAUAUAUCCAAGAUAUUGUGUCAAGAGAGUACAAUUAACUCUAAUGGAUCUUCAUCUUGGAUUUGUUUAGGCUUCAUGCGGCAGACGGGUUACCAUUAACAGGCACCUGCUGCAGACUCUUGUGUGAAGCCAUAAUUAACAACAUCCAAAACUUAGCAAAGGAAUUUCUGUGAUUCAUAACCAUUAGCAAAAAUUUAAAUCAUGUAAACACAUAAGUUGCAAACAAUCAAUGGUAUAAUGUGAUGUAAAACUAUAAAAAGUGUAAAUUUUGCUCAGAUACAUGAAUAUCUUCUCAUAGAUUUCUCUCUGAAGUCUGACAUGUGAAAUUUUCAUGAAUUCAUCACAGCAGAAGACCCAAAUAAUUUUCAAAAAAUUCACAUUAAAACAGUUUCAAAUAGGAAAAUACAAAUAGCUCUCAUACUUGAAAUUUUUUUAUCUACUCAUGCUUUAGAUCGGUAUAGCGUAUAUUGCCACAAGGCAUACAAUCACUGAGCUAUUUUUCACAAAUCUGGCAAUAAAAUAUAAAAAUAUAAAAUAAUACUCAAUAAUAAUGAGAGAUCAGUAGAGUAAAAAAGAAAGGUGUUAUCUGUCACUGUUCAAUCAGAAACACGGACCAAUUUCGUUCAUCAUAUCUCCCAAAUACUAUAACCAAAACAACAAAACUCCAGAAAUUAAUCUAACACCAAAAUCUAAUUCUGUUACAGAUAUAUAAAGAAAUCAUCAGAGACUUAAAUACUACGAAUCAUGGAAUUUACCAUCAUAUUGUUGCAGUUUUUUUCUCAUCACCUGAUUUCAAUGAACAAAAAAGCUUCAAACAAAAAUCGUAAUCAAUAAAAAGAAGCACCAAAUUGAGGCGGCGGCCGGCGAAGAAAACAGCGCAAAUUAAUAUACAUUCGUUAUAACACCAUAAGGUUAUUUAUAGCUACUAGCAACCCAACCUGACUCUUAAACCCUAAUUUCAUAUUCUUUCAAAGUGGACUGGGCUGGGAUAGAUAAACCUCAACGUUGGACUAGUUCUGAUGAGGCUUAGUUUGAUG
rnacentral:lncRNA from 1 species